GGACUACAGGGGUAUCUAAUCCCGUUCGCUCCCCACGCUUUCGUGCCUCAGCGUCAGAAUCGGCCCAGCUGCCUGUCUUCACCAUCGGCGUUCCUCUAGAUAUCUACGCAUUUCACCGCUCCACCUAGAGUUCCAGCAGCCUCUACCGACCUCAAGAUCCGCAGUAUGCCAAGCCAUUCCAUGGUUAAGCCAUGGGAUUUCACAAAGCACUUGCGGAUCCGCCUACGCACCCUUUAAGCCCAGUGACUCCGAUUAACGCUCGAGACCUCUGUAUUACCGCGGCUGCUGGCAC
rnacentral:rRNA from 2 species